rnacentral:rRNA from 1 species
GACGAACGCUGGCGGCGUGCCUAAUACAUGCAAGUCGAGCGAAUCUUUAAGGGGCUUGCCCCUUGAGAUUAGCGGCGGACGGGUGAGUAACACGUGGGCAACCUGCCUGUAAGACCGGGAUAACUUCGGGAAACCGGAGCUAAUACCGGGAUCAUCCUUUCCUUCGCAUGAAGGAAAGCUGAAAGACGGCGUAAGCUGUCACUUACAGAUGGGCCCGCGGCGCAUUAGCUAGUUGGUGAGGUAACGGCUCACCAAGGCGACGGUGCGUAGCCGACCUGAGAGGGUGAUCGGCCACACUGGGGACUGAGACACGGCCCAGACUCCUACGGGAGGCAGCAGUAGGGAAUCUUCCACAAUGGACGAAGUCUGAUGGAGCAACGCCGCGUGAGCGAUGAAGGCCUUCGGGUCGUAAAGCUCUGUUGUUAGGGAAGAACAAGUACCGGAGUAACUGCCGGUACCUUGACGGUACCUAACCAGAAAGCCACGGCUAACUACGUGCCAGCAGCCGCGGUAAUACGUAGGUGGCAAGCGUUGUCCGGAAUUAUUGGGCGUAAAGCGCGCGCAGGCGGUCCUUUAAGUCUGACGUGAAAGCCCACGGCUCAACCGUGGAGGGUCAUUGGAAACCUGGGGGACUUGAGUCAGAAGAGGAAAAGCGGAAUUCCACGUGUAGCGGUGAAAUGCGUA